rnacentral:tRNA from 1 species
UGGCCGGUAGUUCAACUGGCAGAACGCUGGGUUUUGGACCCAGAGGUUGGAGGUUCGAUCCCUCCCCGGCCAGCUA